rnacentral:lncRNA from 1 species
CGCAGGCGCAGAGGCCGACACCACGGGGCGGCUGGUAUGUGUCCACCGGCCCCUAGGCGCCUCGAGCCCCGCCCCUGGGAGACGCAGGCUCCUCCCCGCGGAGCGAGAGCCCGCGGAGCUGCUCCGAGACCCGCGGGAGGGCACCUCCGGUCACCCGAGCCGCAAAUCCCCGCCGUCCGAAGGGGGUGUCGCCCCGGGCUGUCGGCCCAGCGUGGCUUAGGCCAGACCCCGAUCCAUCGACACCCCAAGGAAAUGCUGUGCACAAAAUUCCAAGAGGGCCUUUUCGAAUAGACGCAUGAACGGUGUUUGUGUCUGGAUCGUCCAGCCUCCCGGGAUCGAUUGGGAAUCUAGCUUCUGCUUGCCUUUCCAGCGCGACGCACAGUAGGAGCCUAAUAAAUGUUUGCUGAAUGAAUGCUGAAUAUCGAACUCA